GCCAGCUGGUUCAAUUGGGCCUUGGUUUUCGUCAUUUCCUGCGUGGCGCGGCUCAACGCCUUGACCAGCGCAUGGUUCUUGGCCAUGAGCUGGUC
rnacentral:tRNA from 5 species